rnacentral:rRNA from 1 species
AUGAACGCUAGCGGCAGGCUUAACACAUGCAAGUCGAGGGUAUAGUAGCAAUACUAGAGACCGGCGCACGGGUGCGUAACGCGUAUGCAAUCUACCUUUUGCAGAGGGAUAGCCCAGAGAAAUUGGAUUAAUACCUCAUAGUAUAGUACUUUGGCAUCAAGGAACUAUUAAAGUCACAACGGCAAAAGAUGAGCAUGCGUCCCAUUAGCUAGUUGGUAAGGUAACGGCUUACCAAGGCUACGAUGGGUAGGGGUCCUGAGAGGGAGAUCCCCCACACUGGUACUGAGACACGGACCAGACUCCUACGGGAGGCAGCAGUGAGGAAUAUUGGACAAUGGGCGCAAGCCUGAUCCAGCCAUGCCGCGUGCAGGAUGACGGUCCUAUGGAUUGUAAACUGCUUUUAUACAGGAAGAAACACUCCGACGUGUCGGAGCUUGACGGUACUGUAAGAAUAAGGAUCGGCUAACUCCGUG